ACACUGUUCCCCAAAUCCUAAAGCACCUUUGGAAAGUCAGAAAGCAACCUGGCUUCUCCUAAACCAGAGUAGCAGAAGCUGGGAGUUUUUGUUGCACUGGCUGCUCUAGCUUUUACAAAGUUGAUGAAGCAAGACACCUUCAGAGCCCUGGUCCAGCUAAUCAUUGAAGUUGGGCAACUGGAGGAUCUUAUGCGGAGCAGAGAUUGCCUUGGUAACUGUAUAUGCAGAUUAGAGGAUGCAGCUGUUUCUCCUCUGUCCUUUAAAGAUGAUGCUGUCUUGGUGCUAGGCUGGCUGAAAGAGAAUGGCGGAAGAUUCUUCUUCAGUUAGCCCUUUGGCUCUUCUGCGCAGAUCACUAUUGCUUAUGGGAGCUCCCAGGUUGAAUGCCAGCUGUAUGCAAUGAAGUUCUGCACUGUGAAGAAAAGCUCCACAGUGUGGAUCAGAGAGAUGGAAUAUCGCCUGAAGAGUCAUACUUACUUUUUAAAGACUAAGAUAUUGUUAUCUAUAGUAUCUAACAAUACCGCAGUUACUUAACAAGCCAGGCAGAUGCCCACCUAGGUAUUUACACAAGAUCAAUCAAACAGGAAGUUUGUAAAUUUGAAGGCGAGUGUGAAUUAAUGCCCUAGGAAUGUGAAAUAAUGCAGGAUGUUUGAAUUGCCCAAGUGCAAUGGACCAGUGGCAGCUUUUCCUGCCUCCCUAGAGUGAAGUGAAAAAUAUUGUCUCUAAUAACUUUAAGUUGGAAGGUGUUAAAAUUGGCAUUUUUAUUCUAAUAGGUCACCGUGGUUUUUUUUUUUAAGAUGUCUUUGGAUGUUAUAGCUCUAAACUGGCCUAAAAGUUGAACACUGAGUGCUGUGGUGCACGUAACAUGUUGUAUUUAUUUAUUCAUUCAUUCAUGCGCUUUGACCAGACAAACAAUAAAUUAAACUUUAAUAUCCCAGACACCUCAAACACAGCUUUAAGUUACUUUGCAAGUCUAACUACAAGCACCUGGAAUAAUGGCCAUCCUGACUGGGAGGAUUUCAGCCUAAGGCAUAUUUACAGAAGAUGGCAUACCCAGGGCAAUGAGUAAGCUGUAACUCUCCUCCAAAUGCAGAUCAGGACACACCAAAAUCUGGUUCACUUUUAUAGUACCAUUUGCACAUUAUAGCUUAGCUGAGCACUCAGACCUGUCUGUUUGAUGUGGUAUAUGCCUGCAAGUCUUGGCUCACGUUACAGAGUUGUACGAGUAGCUUUUCUGUAUGGCCCUUUAAGGAAGGAACAGCACCAGUUGCUCUGGAUAUAUCUUUGAGUUCUAAAUCUUCUAAAACUGCUUGGAGAAUGCAUCCUGUGUAAUGCAGUGGUUUUGCUCUCAUUUGCUUCAUUUUGGGUAAUAGGCUUUUGAAAACCUUCUGUCCCUCUGAUUACUGGAGCACUGAACAAAAAAAGAGAGCACAUUCUGGGCAUCCUCAGUGCUGUAAUUUGACUCAGCAACAUAGGAGCAGUUGCCAAAAUAACAUUCAAUUCAUUGACACUGGCAGACCUAUCUCCUCUGAUGCUAAAAGCCCAAUAGUCCUUCAAACAGCUGAUAUACUCGAUAAACUCGGUGCUUCAGUGUUCUGCUUUUCAGGUGGCAGGGAGUCUGUUAUGGGAAGGAUAUUGUCCUUGGUGGUGCUGGUCUACAAACUGUUUCCUAUGUUUGGCCAGCAAUCUGGAGAAGUGAAAUAAAACUGUCAUGGUAUGCCAUUGAGCACUGAAACACUAUGCAAACAUCCAAUUUAAUCAGUUCUACUGGGACUCCAGUGUAGCAAUUUUAGCAGUCCAUACUUUUGAACCUGCUGGGCAUUUUAUGGGGAAAUCAGCAUCAAUGUUUGCGUAAUGCUACUUCUCAUUCCCACUCUUAAUGGCAGUGACUGUAGCACUGUAGAUUGAAGAAAUGUAUUUGUAUUCCCAGCAGCAUACUGCGCAAAACAAUCUGAUUAUAGAUUCUAGUGUGAAUCUCCUGACCCGCUAAUCCAAAUCCAUCUUUUUUUG